rnacentral:rRNA from 1 species
AUUGAACGCUGGCGGCAUGCCUUACACAUGCAAGUCGAACGGUAACAGGUUAAGCUGGCGAGUGGCGAACGGGUGAGUAAUAUAUCGGAACGUGCCCAGUCGUGGGGGAUAACGUAGCGAAAGCUACGCUAAUACCGCAUACGAUCUACGGAUGAAAGCGGGGGAUCGCAAGACCUCGCGCGAUUGGAGCGGCCGAUAUCAGAUUAGGUUGUUGGUGAGGUAAAGGCUCACCAAGCCUGCGAUCUGUAGCUGGUCUGAGAGGACGACCAGCCACAGUGGAACUGAGACACGGUCCAGACUCCGACGGGAGGCAGCAGUGGGGAAUUUUGGACAAUGGGGGCAACCCUGAUCCAGCAAUGCCGCGUGAGUGAAGGAGGCCUUCGGGUUGUAAAGCUCUUUUGACAGGGAAGAAACGACGCUUGUUAAUACCAGGCGUUAAUGACGGUACCUGAAGAAUAAGCACCGGCUAACUACGUGCCAGCAGCCGCCGUAA